CCUACGGGUGGCAGCAGUGGGGAAUAUUGCACAAUGGGGGAAACCCUGAUGCAGCGACGCCGCGUGAGCGAUGAAGUAUUUCGGUAUGUAAAGCUCUAUCAGCAGGGAAGAAAAUGACGGUACCUGACUAAGAAGCCCCGGCUAACUACGUGCCAGCAGCCGCGGUAAUACGUAGGGGGCAAGCGUUAUCCGGAUUUACUGGGUGUAAAGGGAGCGUAGACGGUCGUGCAAGCCGGAUGUGAAAGCCCGGGGCUCAACCCCGGAACUGCAUUGGAAACUGUAAGGCUGGAGUGUCGGAGAGGCAGGCGGAAUUCCUAGUGUAGCGGUGAAAUGCGUAGAUAUUAGGAGGAACACCAGUGGCGAAGGCGGCCUGCUGGACGAUGACUGACGUUGAGGCUCGAAAGCGUGGAGAGCAAACAGGAUUAGAUACCCGAGUAGUC
rnacentral:rRNA from 1 species